rnacentral:rRNA from 1 species
UACGGAGGAUGCAAGCGUUAUCCGGAUUUAUUGGGUUUAAAGGGUGCGCAGGUUGUUUGAUAAGUCAGUGGUGAAAGUCUGUCGCUUAACGGUAGGAUUGCCAUUGAUACUGUUAGACUUGAAUAUGGAUGAGGUAGGCGGAAUGUGUAGUGUAGCGGUGAAAUGUAUAGAUAUUACACAGAACACCGAUUGCGAAGGCAGCUUACUAAUCCAUCAUUGACGCUGAGGCACGAAAGCGUGGGGAUCAAACAGGA